CAAAUUUCUGCCCUAUCAACUUUCGAUUGUAAGGUCUUGGCUUACAAUGGUUUCAACGGGUAACGGGGAAUUAGGGUUCGAUUCCGGAGAGGGAGCCUGAGAAACGGCUACCACAUCCAAGGAAGGCAGCAGGCGCGCAAAUUACCCAAUCCCGACACGGGGAGGUAGUGACAAGAAAUACUGAUACAGGGCUCUUUUGGGUCUUGUAAUUGGAAUGAGUACAAUUUAAAUCCCUUAACGAGGAACAAUUGGAGGGCAAGUCUGGUGCCAGCAGCCGCGGUAAUUCCAGCUCCAAUAGCGUAUAUUAAAGUUGUUGCAGUUAAAAAGCUCGUAGUUGAACCUUGGGCCUGGCUGGCCGGUCCGCCUCACCGCGUGCACUGGUCCGGCCGGGCCUUUCCUUCUGGGGAGCCGCAUGCCCUUCACUGGGUGUGUCGGGGAACCAGGACUUUUACUUUGAAAAAAUUAGAGUGUUCAAAGCAGGCCUAUGCUCGAAUACAUUAGCAUGGAAUAAUAGAAUAGGACGUGUGGGUUCUAUUUUGUUGGUUUCUAGGACCGCCGUAAUGAUUAAUAGGGAUAGUCGGGGGCAUCAGUAUUCAAUUGUCAGAGGUGAAAUUCUUGGAUUUAUUGAAGACUAACUACUGCGAAAGCAUUUGCCA
rnacentral:rRNA from 1 species